UACAGAGGGGGCAAGCGUUAUUCGGAAUUAUUGGGCGUAAAGGGCGCGUAGGCGGUUCUUCAAGUCUCUCGUGAAAUCCCUCGGCUUAACUGAGGACGUGCGGGAGAUACUGAAGGGCUUGAGUCCGGAAGAGGGUGGUGGAAUUCCCAGCGUAGCGGUGAAAUGCGUAGAUAUUGGGGAGGAACACCGGUGGCGAAGGCGGCCACCUGGGCCGGAACUGACGGCUGAGGCGCGAAAGCGUGGGGAGCAAACGGG
rnacentral:rRNA from 1 species